CAACAAAUAAAACAGAAAAGGAAAGAAGACCAAAAAUUAAGAGAAAAUGGAAAGACCAGCCGCCAUUCUUCAGACCUUCAUCUAGCAAAACAGCCAUGGCGGACAGCGGAAGACGACGAUUUGAAUCCCUUCUGUCUACUAGAGUUGACUUCGUAGGUGCCAGUGAGUCUUGAUUGUUUUACAAAGGCAUUCAAACCCCUCACAAAUGCCAUAAAUCAAUCAAAUGAAGACUUCUUCAACUCCUAGCACAACCAGUCAUGUCUUGCACAGCCAAGGUUGAGCUCAACUUGGAGCUAAUACCACUGUCUAAGCCAGAAGAAUCCAUAGAUCCAUUUAUUAACUAAUCGAGCUAGCAUAGCAGACAAUAACGCGAAAUCCAGGAAAGGGAGGGGGAAUGAAUGCCAAAUUUGAAGCAAACCGAAAAGUGAGUUCUUGUGGAGUGAGUCUAGUGCUUCCCUUUAACCUAGAAGCACUCAGUGAGCCUUCAACAAUGUCCUUCCUGGCCUCUUAUUUGAGUUGACCGAAGGCGGCGGGUGGACGAACAUCUUGCAAUAAAGAAUGUUCUCCUACUCACAAACAGCGACUCCUGUUGGUGCGAUCAACCACGAAAAGUCAGUAAUAAAGAAUAUGUGCUCCUCGCUCCCGCUAUGGUUCGAUAUGAUAUGGUUUGAUUGGUCCAACCUUUAGAAACAACAAGGGUAAAAUAGAUAUAAAAGAUCCAUGGUCAUGGGAUCGAACAACGGAGAUCAUUCUUCAAGAUGACACUUGGAAAGACGUGAUUAAUUGGAACACAAUACCAUGUCAAUUUCUCUGUAGAGGUGUUCCCAAAGAAGUUGGAGGUUCAGAAUCUAAUUUUUUUUCUUAAUGGUUGAACCAAAUGACAGUAUAGCUGCAGUUAAAGCGUAUAUUCUGUGGGAAUAAAACAACAACUAAUUUGGCAACCACAUUUGUUGAAAUUACUUACCACAAAUGUGAAAAUUGGCAAGCCACAAAUGUGAAAGUUGGUAGCCACAUUUGUGGAAGUUUGAUAGAGUUUUGGAAGUCAAAGUUUGGUAGAAUUUUGGUAGAGUUUGGCAGCCAAACUUUGUGAAAAUUGGCUACCACAUUUAUGUCAAAGUUGUUUACCUACAAAUUUGAAUUGUUAGUUUCCAUUGAUGUCAUUAGUGACAUCAAACGGACAUAAUUUUUCUUAUAAAUAGAGCACUUAUGCUCAUUUGUAAGGACACACCAAAAAUAGAGAAACAAUAGAGAGUAGAGAGAGUAAUCCUUCGUAGUUUGUGAGAAAAUAGUGUGAAAGUAAUAUAAUUGUGAGUUGUAAGAAAUAAAAGAGUGGUGAGUAGUAGUCUUUUGACACUACCAAGUUUUUCAUCAAUAUUAUUGUAUUACUUAUUCGGGUAUCAUAUUUACCCAUUUUAAUAUUUGGUGUCAUUGUUACUCUCUUCCUAUUGGUAUUUAGUUUGGACAUUAUUCUGGGUGUGAUUAUCAUUUGUCCAACAACGUGGUAUCAGAGCCAUGGAAAAUAAUAGUCCGUUGUCCUUUCAGUACCCCCAUCUCACAAGAGAAAAUUAUGAAAAUGGUGUCUAUGAAUGAAAGUCAUUCUUGGCUCUCAAGAUGUUUGGCAUAUUGUAGACAAUGGGUUUACAAAACCCGCUAAUGAGGAAACUUUGUCCUCAAAUGAAAAGGAGAUCUUAUUAAAGACAAGAAAGAAAG